AACGAACGCUGGCGGCAUGCCUAACACAUGCAAGUCGACGAGACCUUCGGGUCUAGUGGCGCACGGGUGCGUAACGCGUGGGAACCUGCCCUUAGGUUCGGAAUAACUCCCCGAAAGGGGUGCUAAUACCGGAUAAUGUCUUCGGACCAAAGAUUUAUCGCCUUUGGAUGGGCCCGCGUUGGAUUAGCUAGUUGGUAGGGUAAAAGCCUACCAAGGCGACGAUCCAUAGCUGGUCUGAGAGGAUGAUCAGCCACACUGGGACUGAGACACGGCCCAGACUCCUACGGGAGGCAGCAGUGGGGAAUAUUGGACAAUGGGCGAAAGCCUGAUCCAGCAAUGCCGCGUGAGUGAUGAAGGCCUUAGGGUUGUAAAGCUCUUUUACCCGGGAUGAUAAUGACAGUACCGGGAGAAUAAGCUCCGGCUAACUCCGUG
rnacentral:rRNA from 1 species